GUGAAGAAGGGAGGUCGGAAUUCCCUUUCGAAAACCAUUAAAAUACUCUGUUCCUAUUGAAUAAAUAUUUAAAAUACUGGCAUCACUGAAAUCAGUAGAAAAAGCUACAUCAAAUAAAGUUAAUUAUCUACUUCAAAUCUAAAUUUUUUGAAAUCCUUUAACAUUUAUGAAAUAUUCAUUAUUAUUUAAUAAUUUAUUAUACAAUUCAAAUCAAAGAUUGAAGUUUUGACGGAUUCCUUCUUUGAAUCCGAACAUACUUCAUGUGUUAGGUGGACUACGAAUAGAAGAGAGACCCAAGAUUAAUUUCGUAUGACUUGAUGUGCACAGUCGCCGUAUCCCUGGAUCUCGUAAAGAGUUCCUUGCUCCUGGUUGGAUGGAUGUGCAACUCUACUUCAUACCUAUGUAAACAACAUGCUAUGCCAACAGAUAAGAUGCCCAACGUGCGACCCUUUAUAGGUCCCAGUACCCACGAGUAGGAGAAACAGGUGACAAUAAUAACUAAAGUUUAUGGAAGAGUCUAUAGUGAAUGAAAAUUAUUAUGCUGAGUUUGUCAUUAUUUUGUGAGAAUGCCUACUUGCUCUUCGUUCGGUUGCAAAAUCAAUUGUUUCACCGGACUAUUCCUGGCCCUGACAUAUCGUUUUCCAAUGGAGUUUAAAGAAAGAAAGACUUAGAUACGUGUCUUGAGAAGAAAGAAAAGACUCAUUUGCUAUGUUUUGAGCUCUUCAGAGAAAAAAAUAUCGACUAUGAGAAUUUACAACCCGAAUUUCCUCAGGCAGUGAAACAAAAGCCCUUAAUGCCUUUAGUAAGAGUAAUUACCUUGAUGCAGGUGAAAUUUCGAGGAUCCAAUCUGUUGUUGGGCAGACUACUCACGAAAAUGUUGUACUAGUAACCCAUGUUUUAUGCUGACAAAAUUUCAGACAAGGUGGAAAUAAGAUGUGGCAUUUCACCUAACUAUAAAUUCGUUUCACCCUAAGAAGAUUGUUUCUAUAUAUAAUUAAAAGUAUUAUUUGUUCGGCAUUCGACAUUGGCUGCUACAAGGUGGCUUAUAUUACCAGUGACAACCCGCAACCGUAAUGAGGAUUUCCUGUCUUAUAGGCCUUGUUUAGUUAAAUGUAUUUAUUUAUCCUUCAAGUCUCUAAUCAGUGUGGUGGAACUGGAAGAUCAGAUUUAAAGACACAUUUCUGUCUGUUGUAUUUUCCUGAAAAAUAAAGAUCAAUAGCAUAUAAA
rnacentral:lncRNA from 1 species